rnacentral:rRNA from 1 species
GAUGAACGCUGGCGGCGUGCCUAAUACAUGCAAGUCGAGCGAACGGACGAGAAGCUUGCUUCUCUGAUGUUAGCGGCGGAAGGGUGAGUAACACGUGGAUAACAUACCUAUAAGACUGGGAUAACUUAGGGAAACAGUAGCUAUUACCGGAUAAUAUUUUGAACCGCAUGGUUCAAGAGAGAAAGAAGGUCGUGCUGACACUUAUAGAAUGAUCCGCGCUGCAUUAGCUAGUUGGUAAGGUAACGGCUUACGAAGGCAACGAUGCAUAGCCGACCUGAGAGGUGGACCGGCCACACGGGACCUGAGACACGGUCCGGACUCCUACGGGAGGAGGCAGUGGGGAAUCUUCCGCAAGGGGCGAAGUCCUGCCGGAGCAACGCCGCGGGGGUGAGGAAGGUCUCCGGAUCGUAAAACUCUGUUAUUAGGGAAGAACAUAUGUGUAAGUAACGGUGCACAUCUUGACGGUACCUAAUCAGAAAGCCACGGCUAACUACGUG